rnacentral:rRNA from 1 species
CAGUAGCCACGGGAAAUACGUAGGGUGCAAGCGUUAAUCGGAAUUACUGGGCGUAAAGCGUGCGCAGGCGGUUAUAUAAGACAGAUGUGAAAUCCCCGGGCUCAACCUGGGAACUGCAUUUGUGACUGUAUAGCUAGAGUACGGCAGAGGGGGAUGGAAUUCCGCGUGUAGCAGUGAAAUGCGUAGAUAUGCGGAGGAACACCGAUGGCGAAGGCAAUCCCCUGGGCCUGUACUGACGCUCAUGCACGAAAGCGUGGGGAGCAAACAGGAUUAGAUACCCCAGUAGUCCCUGUCUCUUAUA